UGUCGUGAGAUGUUGGGUUAAGUCCCGCAACGAGCGCAACCCUUGUGUUUAGUGCCAAACAGGUCAAGCUGUGCACUCUAGACAGACUGCCGUGGACAACACGGAGGAAGUGGGGAUGACGUCAAAUCAUCAUGCCCCUUAUGAUCUGGGCUACACACGUGCUACAAUGGACCGGUACAACGGGCAAGCGAAGGAGCGAUCCGGAGCGAAUCCUAAAAAGCCGGUCCCAGUUCGGAUUGCAGGCUGAAACUCGCCUACAUGAAGUUGGAGUUGCUAGUAAUCGCGAAUCAGAAUGUCGCGGUGAAUGCGUUCCCGGGUCUU
rnacentral:rRNA from 1 species